UAAGAGCUCGCCUAGGCGACGAUGUGUAGCCGGUCUGAGAGGAUGAACGGCCACAAUGGAACUGAGACACGGUCCAUACUCCUACGGGAGGCAGCAGUGGGGAAUAUUGCACAAUGGGGGAAACCCUGAUGCAGCAACGCCGCGUGAGUGAAGAAGGUUUUCGGAUUGUAAAGCUCUGUUAGCAGGGAAGAGGAAGGACGGUACCUGCAGAGGAAGCCACGGCUAACUACGUGCCAGCAGCCGCGGUAAUACGUAGGUGGCAAGCGUUGUUCGGAAUAACUGGGCGUAAAGGAUGCGUAGGCGGUUGAGUAAGUUAUGUGUUAAAUAUAUAGGCUUAACCUGUAGAAAGCACAUAAAACUGUUUAACUAGAGUGCAGGAGAGGUAAGUGGAAUUCCUAGUGUAGCGGUGAAAUGCGUAGAGAUUAGGAAGAACACCAGUGGCGAAGGCGACUUACUGGACUGUAACUGACGCUGAGGCAUGAGAGCAUGGGGAGCAAACAGGAUUAGAUACCCUGGUAGUCCAUGCUGUAAACGAUGGGUACUAGGUGUGGGUUGUGAAUAACA
rnacentral:rRNA from 1 species